AAGGAGCUUGCUCCUGAUUGAUAAACAUUUGAGUGAGUGGCGGACGGGUGAGUAACACGUGGGUAACCUGCCCUAAAGUGGGGGAUAACAUUUGGAAACAGAUGCUAAUACCGCAUAAAACCUAACACCGCAUGGUGUAGGGUUGAAAGAUGGUUUCGGCUAUCACUUUAGGAUGGACCCGCGGUGCAUUAGUUAGUUGGUGAGGUAAAGGCUCACCAAGACCGUGAUGCAUAGCCGACCUGAGAGGGUAAUCGGCCACACUGGGACUGAGACACGGCCCAGACUCCUACGGGAGGCAGCAGUAGGGAAUCUUCCACAAUGGACGAAAGUCUGAUGGAGCAACGCCGCGUGAGUGAAGAAGGUUUUCGGAUCGUAAAACUCUGUUGUUGGAGAAGAAUGUAUCUGAUAGUAACUGAUCAGGUAGUGACGGUAUCCAACCAGAAAGCCACGGUUAACUACGUG
rnacentral:rRNA from 1 species